GCCCAAGUGGCGGAACGGUAGACGCAGGGGAUUCAAAAUCCCCCGCCAGCAAUGGCGUGAGAGUUCGAUUCUCUCCUUGGGCACCA
rnacentral:tRNA from 1 species